AACGCUGGCGGCGUGCUUAACACAUGCAAGUCGAACGGAAAGGCCCUGCUUUUGUGGGGUGCUCGAGUGGCGAACGGGUGAGUAACACGUGAGUAACCUGCCCUUGACUUUGGGAUAACUUCAGGAAACUGGGGCUAAUACCGGAUAGGAGCUCCUGCUGCAUGGUGGGGGUUGGAAAGUUUCGGCGGUUGGGGAUGGACUCGCGGCUUAUCAGCUUGUUGGUGGGGUAGUGGCUUACCAAGGCUUUGACGGGUAGCCGGCCUGAGAGGGUGACCGGCCACAUUGGGACUGAGAUACGGCCCAGACUCCUACGGGAGGCAGCAGUGGGGAAUAUUGCACAAUGGGCGGAAGCCUGAUGCAGCAACGCCGCGUGCGGGAUGACGGCCUUCGGGUUGUAAACCGCUUUCGCCUGUGACGAAGCGUGAGUGACGGUAAUGGGUAAAGAAGCACCGGCUAACUACGUGCCAGCAGCCGCGGUGAUACGUAGGGUGCGAGCGUUGUCCGGAUUUAUUGGGCGUAAAGGGCUCGCAGGUGGUUGAUCGCGUCGGAAGUGUAAUCUUGGGGCUUAACCCUGAGCGUGCUUUCGAUACGGGUUGACUUGAGGAAGGUAGGGGAGAAUGGAAUUCCUGGUGGAGCGGUGGAAUGCGCAGAUAUCAGGAGGAACACCAGUGGCGAAGGCGGUUCUCUGGGCCUUUCCUGACGCUGAGGAGCGAAAGCGUGGGGAGCGAACAGGCUUAGAUACCCUGGUAGUCCACGCUGUAAACGGUGGGUACUAGGUGUGGGGUCCAUUCCACGGGUUCCGUGCCGUAGCUAACGCUUUAAGUACCCCGCCUGGGGAGUACGGCCGCAAGGCUAAAACUCAAAGGAAUUGACGGGGCCCCGCACAAGCGGCGGAGCAUGCGGAUUAAUUCGAUGCAACGCGUAGAACCUUACCUGGGUUUGACAUGGAUCGGGAGUGCUCAGAGAUGGGUGUGCCUCUUUUGGGGUCGGUUCACAGGUGGUGCAUGGCUGUCGUCAGCUCGUGUCGUGAGAUGUUGGGUUAAGUCCCGCAACGAGCGCAACCCUUGUUCACUGUUGCCAGCACGUUAUGGUGGGGACUCAGUGGAGACCGCCGGGGUCAACUCGGAGGAAGGUGGGGAUGACGUCAAGUCAUCAUGCCCCUUAUGUCCAGGGCUUCACGCAUGCUACAAUGGCUGGUACAGAGAGUGGCGAGCCUGUGAGGGUGAGCGAAUCUCGGAAAGCCGGUCUCAGUUCGGAUUGGGGUCUGCAACUCGACCUCAUGAAGUCGGAGUCGCUAGUAAUCGCAGAUCAGCAACGCUGCGGUGAAUACGUUCCCGGGGCUUGUACACACCGCCCGUCAAGUCAUGAAAGUUGGUAACACCCGAAGCCGGUGGCCUAACCGUUGUGGGGGAGCCGUCGAAGGUGGGACUGGUGAUA
rnacentral:rRNA from 1 species